AUUGAACGCUGGCGGCAGGCCUAACACAUGCAAGUCGAGCGGAGCGGCGGACGGGUGAGUAAUGCCUAGGAAUCUGCCUGGUAGUGGGGGAUAACGUCCGGCAACGGGCGCUAAUACCGUAUACUAUCAGAUGAGCCUAGGUCGGAUGAGCUAGUUGGUGGGGUAAAGGCCUACCAAGGCGACGAUCCGUAACUGGUCUGAGAGGAUGAUCAGUAAAACCGGAACGUAGACACGGUCCAGACUUCUACGAGAGGUACGAGUGGGGAAUAUGGGACAUUGGGCGAAAGCCUGGUACAGCCGUGCCGGGUGUGUGAAGAGGGUCAUCGGAUUGUAAAGCACUUUAAGUUGGGAGGCGUUACCAACAGAAUAAGCACCGGCUAACUUCGUGCCAGCAGCCGCGGUAAUAC
rnacentral:rRNA from 1 species